CUCUCCCGAGCCAAAUCUUCUACGGAGUACAACCACGAGUCCACGACGGUUUACUCGUGCCGGGGUCUGGGUUUCCUGUGCCGGCUGGACUCCUUCUUCCUCCAUCCCCUGCUCACCGCGGAUACACUUGCCGACUGCCGCUGUUUUUCCCGGCAGCCAUCGUUGUUCAGCUGGCCAGAGCAGCGGCCUCUCCAUGGUGUUCCCACACCAACUUUUCGUGGCGGCGCGCCCGCUGCAGCACGCCGACGAGCCAGCCGCCACCUUGGCGUUCGACUUCGGCGAGAAGAUGGUGCGUGGCCCGCCGAGCAGGGCCAAAUUAAUCUGGUUUCUUCGCCUCCUCCACCAUUUUUCCUUGCUGCUACAUAUCCUUGCUCAAUCCUAUCCCUUUGUGUUGGUCUGGUGCUCCUUCUGCACCCCGGACGUCGCCCAUGGCCAUGGGCUCUAGCUUCCCCACCGGCUGGUCUGCCAUCUGCGUGUCCGACGAAGAGCGAGGGGGCCGCCAGCUCGGGAUCUAGGUCGUCGCCGCCAGCUCAAGAUUUGGGCCAUCGCCAGCCUUGUCCCCACCAUGCAGCUCGGUGUCGGGCAUGCCGCCGAGGCCAUCUAGAUCAACAGCAGUGGUACAGGAGCAUGGCGGCGGCGACGGCUUCUCCGACCUUGCCCUCAAGCUGGUAACACCGGAGUCGACUCAGGGAGGCAGCCGACCAGGCCAGGUCCACCCAGGACAUGUAGAUCAAGGAAGAGCUGGAGGUAUCGACGGCCAACAAGGAGGAUUUCUUCAUUAGGAGGAUGGCCGAGAACGAGUCCAGGCCUCAAGGGAUCCCAUCCUCCCAGGGCGAUGUCAUGCAAGUCGUCUCCCAGGAGCAAUAUUGAUGUGCAAAAAGGGACUGAUACAGAGCAUCUGAGGCAAGAUGAAUGUAUAGUUGGCAUUUGCAAAUACACUGCAAGAAGAUGGAAAGUACAAGAAAUCUGUGAAAAGAUGCCAAUGAUAUUCUAAUACAAAGGAGGAUGCAAUGGGUCAUCAAGACUAUGGGAGAUAACAACACCAGCAAUUCAGGCAACAACACUCCCUAUUCAUUGCAAUUCUAUCUUCUUGGAAGAAAUUAUCUUGCAAGCUGAUAAAAAUUAUGAAAGGAGACUGGGACAUACUGUCGGCCGGCCUUGCCAUUGCCGUCAUCAGAGACCAUUUGCACGUGUGUGCCAUGCGCUGCCAUUGGUGAGAUUUCCUGGUCUUUAGUUUGCUACCACCAUUUGUAAUUACUCAAUAACUAAGACUGAGCAGCUUUUCUAUCUGUACCUUGGUGCAUAAAUUUCUUGGGCAACUGAAUCCGAAAUAAGCAGCUUAGUCUUAGUUGUAGAUGCUAGCGACUGUGUUACCACACCAUGAUUAUACUGUAGGUAGGUUGAGAUGUACAGGGUGUUGCUUUUGCUGAUGAAUAUUAGUCAAUAUGUAUCAGAAAUUGGUCAAUUACGUGAGAAGUUUCAGUGUUGCUUUCUUGUGGAGAGCACUGAUGGCUGGAGAUUAUUGGAGCACUUUGUUUGUUCAAGAUAUAGAUGCUACAGAUUUUCAUUGUAAAUACUACUGGUUGUUUGACUGAAUGAAGUUAUUUAAGUUCAUA